AUUGAACGCUGGCGGCAGGCCUAACACAUGCAAGUCGAACGGUAACAGGAAGAAGCUUGCUUCUUUGCUGACGAGUGGCGGACGGGUGAGUAAUGUCUGGGAAACUGCCUGAUGGAGGGGGAUAACUACUGGAAACGGUAGCUAAUACCGCAUAACGUCGCAAGACCAAAGAGGGGGACCUUCGGGCCUCUUGCCAUCGGAUGUGCCCAGAUGGGAUUAGCUAGUAGGUGGGGUAACGGCUCACCUAGGCGACGAUCCCUAGCUGGUCUGAGAGGAUGACCAGCCACACUGGAACUGAGACACGGUCCAGACUCCUACGGGAGGCAGCAGUGGGGAAUAUUGCGCAAUGGGCGCAAGCCUGAUGCAGCCAUGCCGCGUGUAUGAAGAAGGCCUUCGGGUUGUAAAGUACUUUCAGCGGGGAGGAAGGGAGUAAAGUUAAUACCUUUGCUCAUUGACGUUACCCGCAGAAGAAGCACCGGCUAACUCCGUG
rnacentral:rRNA from 1 species